CCUACGGGAGGCAGCAGUGAGGAAUAUUGGUCAAUGGGCGCGAGCCUGAACCAGCCAAGUAGCGUGAAGGAUGACUGCCCUACGGGCUGUAAACUUCUUUUAUAAAGGAAUAAAGUGAGGCACGUGUGCCUUUUUGUACGUAUUUUAUGAAUAAGGAUCGGCUAACUCUGUGCCAGCAGCCGCGGUAAUACGGAGGAUCCGAGCGUUAUCCGGAUUUAUUGGGUUUAAAGGGAGCGUAGAUGGGUUGUUAAGUUAGUUGCGAAAGUUUGCGGCUCAACCGUAAAAUUGCAAUUGAUACUGGCAGUCUUGAGUACAGUUGAGGUAGGCGGAAUUCGUGGUGUAGCGGUGAAAUGCUUAGAUAUCACGAAGAACUCCGAGUGCGAAGGCAGCUUACUAAACUGCCACUGACAUUGAUGCUCGAAAGUGUGGGUAUCAAACAGGAUUAGAUACCCUAGUAGUC
rnacentral:rRNA from 1 species